UACGUAGGGUGCGAGCGUUGUCCGGAAUUAUUGGGCGUAAAGAGCUCGUAGGCGGUGUGUCGCGUCGGCCGUGAAAACCUGCAGCUUAACUGUGGGCUUGCGGUCGAUACGGGCAUCACUGGAGUUCGGCAGGGGAGACUGGAAUUCCUGGUGUAGCGGUGAAAUGCGCAGAUAUCAGGAGGAACACCGGUGGCGAAGGCGGGUCUCUGGGCCGAUACUGACACUGAGGCGCGAAAGCCAGGGGAGCAAACGGG
rnacentral:rRNA from 1 species